rnacentral:rRNA from 1 species
GAACGAACGCUGGCGGCAGGCCUAACACAUGCAAGUCGAACGCCGUAGCAAUACGGAGUGGCAGACGGGUGAGUAACGCGUGGGAACAUACCCCUCGGUUCGGAAUAACUCAGGGAAACUUGAGCUAAUACCGGAUACGUCCGAGGUUUUAAUCGGCCUUGGAGAAAGAUUUAUCGCCGGAGGAAUUGGCCCGCGUCUGAUUAGCUUGUUGGUGAGGUAAUGGCUCACCAAGGCGACGANCAGUAGCUGGUCUGAGAGGAUGAUCAGCCACAUUGGGACUGAGACACGGCCCAAACUCCUACGGGAGGCAGCAGGUGGGGAAUAUUGGACAAUGGGCGAAAGCCUGAUCCAGCCAUGCCGCGUGAGUGAUGAAGG